rnacentral:rRNA from 1 species
UACGUAGGGGGCAAGCGUUGUCCGGAUUUAUUGGGCGUAAAGAGCGUGUAGGCGGCCAAGCAGGUCCGCUGUGAAAACUCGAGGCUCAACCUCGAGACGUCGAUGGAAACCGUUUGGCUAGAGUCCGGAAGAGGAGAGUGGAAUUCCCGGUGUAGCGGUGGAAAUACGCAGAUAUCGGGGAAGAACACCCGUGGCGAAGGCGGCUCUCUGGGACGGUACUGACGCUGAGACGCGAAAGCGUGGGGAGCGAACAGG